CGCUGGCGGCAGGCCUAACACAUGCAAGUCGAGCGGAUGAAGGGAGCUUGCUCCCUGAUUUAGCGGCGGACGGGUGAGUAAUGCCUAGGAAUCUGCCUGGUAGUGGGGGAUAACGUUCCGAAAGGAACGCUAAUACCGCAUACGUCCUACGGGAGAAAGCAGGGGACCUUCGGGCCUUGCGCUAUCAGAUGAGCCUAGGUCGGAUUAGCUAGUUGGUGAGGUAAUGGCUCACCAAGGCGACGAUCCGUAACUGGUCUGAGAGGAUGAUCAGUCACACUGGAACUGAGACACGGUCCAGACUCCUACGGGAGGCAGCAGUGGGGAAUAUUGGACAAUGGGCGAAAGCCUGAUCCAGCCAUGCCGCGUGUGUGAAGAAGGUCUUCGGAUUGUAAAGCACUUUAAGUUGGGAGGAAGGGCAGUAAGCUAAUACCUUGCUGUUUUGACGUUACCGACAGAAUAAGCACCGGCUAACUUCGUGCCAGCAGCCGCGGUAAUACGAAGGGUGCAAGCGUUAAUCGGAAUUACUGGGCGUAAUGCGCGCGUAGGUAGUUCGUUAAGUUGGAUGUGAAAGCCCCGGGCUCAACCUGGGAACUGCAUCCAAAACUGGCGAGCUAGAGUACGGUAGAGGGUGGUGGAAUUUCCUGUGUAGCGGUGAAAUGCGUAGAUAUAGGAAGGAACACCAGUGGCGAAGGCGACCACCUGGACUGAUACUGACACUGAGGUGCGAAAGCG
rnacentral:rRNA from 1 species